ACCACCUCCUCCUGGCCCGCGGCCCUCAGCCGCCGGCGGCCCGCACCUGCCCCGGAACCGGGCAAGGCGGGUAGGGGUGGGGCGGGGAGGACCGGGCGCCAGGACCAGGCCCGCCGGGAGGCCACCGCGCGCACCCUCGGGGCCGAGGAUAGAGGGCGCAAGGACGUGGGCGCUUCAGGGCCCUGGCGAGGCCGCUAGCCCGGUGGCUUCCAAACCUGGAGGGAACUAUCAUCUCCUAUCGUGCUGUAGGCAAACUUUAGUGACAUGGUGGAAGCCACCAAAAAGAAUAUCUGAAGCAAUUCAUUAAAAUCUUGGCAGCCAGACCCCAGCUCCCGCUUUCCCUGAAAGCUCCCUUUAAUGAAGCUGAACCCUGUCCCAGCAAUUCCCUCCACAGAAGACCUACUGUCACCACCUCUGAAGAGGCUAAUUCCUGGAGGAACCAAGUCAGCCAAUCGAGAGUCCUGAAUA